CUAGUCCAUGGCACAGGUCAAUCACACUGGAUAGCUCUAGUCCAUGGCACAGGUCAAUCACACUGGAUAGCUCUAGUCCAUGGCACAGGUCAAUCACACUGGAUAGCUCUAGUCCAUGGCACAGGUCAAUCACACUGGAUAGCUCUAGUCCAUGGCACAGGUCAAUCACACUGGAUAGCUCUAGUCCAUGGCACAGGUCAAUCACACUGGAUAGCUCUAGUCCAUGGCACAGGUCAAUCACACUGGAUAGCUCUAGUCCAUGGCACAGGUCAAUCACACUGGAUAGCUCUAGUCCAUGGCACAGGUCAAUCACACUGGAUAGCUCUAGUCCAUGGCACAGGUCAAUCACACUGGAUAGCUCUAGUCCAUGGCACAGGUCAAUCACACUGGAUAGCUCUAGUCCAUGGCACAGGUCAAUCACACUGGAUAGCUCUAGUCCAUGGCACAGGUCAAUCACACUGGAUAGCUCU